rnacentral:rRNA from 1 species
AGUCGUGGGAGAAAGUCGGGGCAACUCGGCGAGUAAACCGGCGCACGGGUGAGUAACACGUGGAUAACCUGCCUUGAAGUCCGGGAUAACCCGUCGAAAGAUGGACUAAUACCAGAUAAGACCACGAGGAGUUCGCUCUUCGGGGUAAAGGGUGGCCUCUGCUCCUGCAAGCUAUCGCUUCGAGAGGGGUCCGCGCCCUAUCAGCUAGUUGGUGAGGUAACGGCUCACCAAGGCUGAGACGGGUAGCUGGUCUGAGAGGAUGGUCAGCCACACUGGGACUGAGACACGGCCCAGAGUCCUACGGGAUGCAGCAGUCAGGAAUAUUGCGCAAUGGAGGAAACUCUGACGCAGCGACGCCGCGUGGGUGAUGAAGGCCUUCGGGUCGUAAAGCCCUGUCGGAGGGGAAGAAAAGCUUGCUGGCUAAUAUCCAGCAGGCCUUUGACGGUACCCUCAAAGGAAGCACCGGCUAACUCCGUGCCAGCAGCCGCGGUAAGACGGAGGGUGCAAGCGUUGUUCGGAUUGACUGGGCGUAAAGGGCGUGUAGGCGGUUGGUCAAGUCUGAUGUGAAAGCCCGGGGCUCAGCUUCGGAAGUGCAUCAGAAACUAACCAGCUGGAGCGCGAUAGA